rnacentral:rRNA from 1 species
GACGAACGCUGGCGGCGUGCUUAACACAUGCAAGUCGAACGGUGAAGUAGAGCUUGCUCUAUGGAUCAGUGGCGAACGGGUGAGUAACACGUGGGCAACCUGCCCCAGACUCUGGGAUAACUCCUCGAAAGAGGGCUAAUACCGGAUAUUUGCAUUGCAAGACAUCUUGUGAUGCAGAAAGAAUUUCGGUCUGGGAUGGGCCCGCGGCCUAUCAGCUUGUUGGUGAGGUAACGGCUCACCAAGGCGACGACGGGUAGCCGGCCUGAGAGGGCGACCGUCCACACUGGGACUGAGACACGGCCCAGACUCCUACGGGAGGCAGCAGUGGGGAAUAUUGGGCAAUGGGCGCAAGCCUGACCCAGCAACGCCGCGUGAGGGAUGAAGGUCCUCGGAUUGUAAACCUCUUUCAGCAGGGACGAAGCGAAAGUGACGGUACCUGCAGAAGAAGCACCGGCUAACUACGUGCCAGCCGCCGCCGUAA